CUGCUCCUCAUGCCAAGGUUGCAGUGUGGAUCUGUGUACCAGGGGCUUACACGGAGAUCUCUGGCCCCGCCUGGUGCGAGAGAGUUCCAGCGAAGCCAAGCAAGUACAGGCAGGGAUGGGAAGUCUUCCAACGCUUCUGCUGCUGCCGUUGGCUCCACCUCCGUCUCUGCCUGCCUUCCAGGUUACUUGUUUACUCCUAUGAGAGGCGGACUAGCAAGUGAGGAGUGCAGUGGAGCUUCAGGUGGCACUUCCGGAGAUCAGAGCUCUUCCCAAGUGACAGCUCUUAGGACAAAAGGCUUGGAUGACGGAGCAGCUCUUGCACACCUUUAAUCCUUCCGGAUUAGGAUUCGUAUAUACAGUUUUGGGGGCUGGCGUUUAUAGAUCUGAUUUGACAAGUUGCUGGCUUCCAGAUGACUGUGAUAGCUUUGACUUGGAGAUUGAACUCCCAGCCACAUGAUGUUAGGGUUUCCCAUAGCCCAGGAUGACCCUGAAAUUCAUAUCCUCCUCCUCCUCCUGCUACCUUCCAAGCACUGGGAUUAUAGGUUUGUAC